AAAGCGCCGUCGCCGCUGCCCAGGGGGAAGGCCGGCUGCAGGGCCACCGGCCGGGCAUCGGCGCGGCGGAACUUGGGCGCGAAGCUGAGCAGGUCGCCACCGCCCCCGGCGCCGCCGCACGACACGUACUCCAGAUACUAUUCUUCCAUGAAAAUGAUCCAGACUAGCUAUAGGAACCAGUCAAGAUGUUUUGCCACAAGAUCUAGGACAAGAGGACUUAACCAACAUGUCCCGUCUUGCAGAUCUCCUGGGGACCCUUCACCUGCUUCUGCUACUGCAAACAAUUGGACAUCCAUUUACCUGGACUCUUUUUUCAAGUGUGGAAGCCUUUUGUGCACUGUGCAUCAGGCUGGACCUGGCCUGAAAUUUCUGAAAGAAGGACCAAAGGAAUGCCAAGAACUCCCAGAUGAAGAGGACCUCUCUAGAUUUGUAACUGGGUCUACUAACCAAGUCUUAACUUCAGGAGGAAGUUUCAACUAAUUAUCAGGAUAAGUCAAAACAGGCCUGUGACUGCCCUUUGAAUACUGAAGGUGUCAACAAGCUUCUGGCUUCCCCAGGUCAAGUAGAAGUUGGGUUCCUUCUUUGUUAUUCAAACACACACACACACACACACACACACACACACACAGCCACUUCACCCUCCCUAAUGAAAAACCUCAACAGAUGGAGAGCCUAGGCUCCCCAGCCUGCUGGCUGGGAAGAUGCACUUCACUCAAGGGUCAGUCAGCUGGCACAGGGAGAAGGGAGUAGCUGGUAUAGGUAAUCACUAUAUUUCAAAACUCUCUUCAGCAAGGUUAGCAUCCUCUGGGGCCUGGGAAACCAAUGUGGCUACUGUGUCUCUGAUAGGGACUGGGCUUGGGGCUGUACCAAGGGGAAAGUCCUCUACGUUCUCCCCCUCUCAUUGGAAAGCCCGUACAAAGAAAUGGUACAAACGGGUGGUUAGCAAUGAUUCCAUCAGAGGCGGAUUUUUCUCUGUCAGGUCCCUGGAUGAAGUUGAGGUCUGAAAGCCAGAAGGUGGAGUAUAUAUUUAAUCACCCUUCCUUACUGCCUUCCCAGGGGCCAGGACUACCCUUCAGGCCUUUCCUCUUGCCACCUCGCCACCCCUCUGGCUAGCUCCAUUGGAUCUCCUCCCAUCACUCCGGGCUGGGGCCUGCGUCUCUCCGGGUAGCCAGGGCACGCUCUGCCCGGAGCUCUUUUCCUCCCCUUUUGCCGUGGGCCGCCCCUGCUGCCUCACCUCUACCUUGCUUUAUUUCUCGCUUGAUUGAAAGGAACCGCUGCCACUCCCAUCCGUGGGCGGGGGCUUGAGGCCCGCACCCUUUUCUUCUCGGCUCGGGGGGGAUUCCCCCACAGCCUUCCCGAUCACCUCCCCCAAAGCGGUCUCUGCAGGGAAAAGCCGAGCUGGUCUAGGCCUGAGCCGAAGAGGCAUUUCCUCCCCUCCACUGGGCAAACGAAGUGAACCUCCUGGAGACGCAGGCCCGGAGCUAGGCGAGGCCCUUCCCCACCUCCAGUGGCCGCCCAGCGUGGCCUUUGUGCCGCCUUCCCCGCCUCCGCGGCGCGCACAAUGGUGCAGCCGCUCCGGAAGGCGGGCGGCCCGGGGCGUCCCCAGCCCCGCGCCCGGCGGCGAGGGCCAGCAGCCUGGAGGCCUUGGUGCGGCCCCUGUUGUCCCCUGCGCGCCCGUCACGGGGUGGGGCGGCGGUUUGCUGUCCUGCCAGCUCGCCCCUUCCCGCGGCAGGCCCCCCGGGAGCCGCAGCCUGAACCCGAGCGCCGCCGCCGGCCGCUCCC